rnacentral:misc_RNA from 1 species
UUCUAGAGAGAGAAAUUCCUCUCUAAGUCCUGGAGCAACUCCAUUGCACCACCUGGUUAGGGCUACAUGCAGCCUGGAGCUUACCCUGGCCUAUCGCCUCAUUAUAAUAUGGCUCAGCCACAUGAUGCAGGAUAUCCCACCAACUGGAAUCAGUCUAAUGUCUUUGCCAGUCAGCAGUGUGGUCAGGGUUAUGAUUACUGUAAUCAUGCUAGCCUCUUCACAACAAAAACCAACCCUUGGUG